ensembl:lncRNA
CUCCCUAUCCAGUUAUACUGUAGUCUUUUUAUUGCUGGGUUUUUUAUUCCUGAAUUUUUGCUGCUCAUGACCAAUUUUAAUACCACUGUGUUUUCCUUCUAUUAAACCACAAAUAAAAUGUGUAAUUGGCAACUCUCAAGCUUUCCUUGUGGCAGGCACCUUUUACCCUUGGUGCUCUAAGUCCCAGAUCUAGGAAAAAAAAAUUCAGGUAGUGAAUAAAACAUUGAUCACACAUUCCUUAAAACCAUUUACCAACACCCUACGGAAUAUCAGAACUGAAAUGUGAAUUUGUCUUAGGGAAAUGCAGUUCUUUUCUGGUCCUUAAUAUCUGGUGAGGAGUGAGAGAGGUAACACCUCAGCAAACGGUUCAGAGAAAGAAGCAGUGACUGCCCUGCUAGGCACUGUCCCAAUCCUGUUGCUUUUGACCACUGUCUGUCCAAUGGACACAUCUCAAAAAUACUACCAAAUAGGUUACUUUUAAGAAUAAAGUGAGAGGUCUUGUCCCCAUCCAAAGCUGCUACAGUCUUCAAAGAGGUGAAGGAAGGCAUUCAAAAGAGAACAGUUACAGGAGGGUUGAGAGCCAAGGGUAGGAGAGUUGCCCAAAAGACUUCCCCUUCUCUAGGGUACAGUGAGCUAAAAGGACCAGCUAGGCUUUAUCUAAGUAUUUCCCGAAUGCUACACGAGGGUGUCCCUGUCCAGCUCUCUGGCACAAGAGUCCUGUGUGGAGAGGGACCUCCCCUUCCAAGGACUGUGCUGUUAGGAACUUUGGGCAAGUCACUUACCUCUUCGUGCCUCAAUUUCUGUAUAUUUCUAACCUACCUCACCGAGGUGGUGUGAAGAUUCACUAAUGUAUGUAGCGUGUUUGUCAAUCCUCCAGUGAAAAGCACUAUCUAGAUCAUGUUUUGGAUCACAUUAGCCAAAUGCAGUAAAUGGCCAAAUUAGAUGUGUGCUGAAGACAAUCAGUCACUGGGUCUAUAUAAACAGCAACUAGAGAAACAAAUGGCAAACAGUAUCUAUUUUCAAGUUCCUUUGCAUAUUUUUUGGUGCAAAACAAUUCAUUUAUAAAUUUUUUUUCUAACAGUAGUGUCUACAGCAGCAUUUAAAAAUUAAUUCUGUUACCUUUUCUGUAUUAGGAUUUAAAGUCUAUUUCUUAUUG